UGAGUAGUAGUUUAAAAAAAACGAAUAAUUUGCAAAAUUAUUUUUGGUAGAGCCCUACUUAU
rnacentral:tRNA from 1 species